UCAUUUCUCGGUAUUUUAAAAUUCAGGUUAGUAUUUCACGUUUUCAUUCACUCAUUUCUCGAUAUUUCAGAAUUCAGUCCUCAUUUCUUUGCUUUGAAUUUCUUGAGUUUAGUCUUAUGUUCCUCAUUCACCUCUUUUGAUUUAGUCAUCAAGUCUCUUUGUUAUUCUUAAAUAUUGAGCAUCAUUUUGUCCUAAAUGGUGGUCUUUUUCUUCAUUAUUCAUCUCCCUCUUUUCAUUUUUUUUCCAAUACCAUCCCCUCUUUGCAUUCAAACUUUAGUUUUCUGUAUAUAUGGAUCUCAAUCCUUACUCUUCAGAUCUUACUCUUUAGUUUUUAAUGUAUAGAGAUUCAAAGGUAAGAGGUAGUUUAGUUCAGAGUUCAGAUCCUCUUUCUUCAUUUUCUUCUAUUUUGGGAGUUCUCUUCAUUUUCUUUCUUCAUUUUCUUCUAUUUUGGGAGUUCUCUUCAUUUUCUUUCUUUUGCUUCUUGAAUCAUUCAGGGCAUGUGAACCAAUCUCUGAAUGAACAUGCAGAAUCUCACUGUACUGUCCUCUGCACUUCUUGGUACAAGGGAGGUUUAUGCAUUUCCUUAUCUUUCUUGCACCAUCGUUCUGUUAUAUACUUGUCAUGUAUCUUUUCCAUAUCCUAGUGGAGCAUAACCUUUAUUAUAUGAAAGCAGAGCGCACCAUCUUUUUCCAAACUUGCAUAUAGGAGUACUUAUCAUGGCCCUUGCUCAUCUACACCAAAUAAGUUCUAGCCAUCACUGUGGGUAUGUAGGGUCGGGUUGAUCUUGAAGAACUACUAUCAUGUGUUGAGUGGACAUCCAGUGUAGUGUCGUCUAGGUCUAGAGAUCAGAGUGUCCACUUCUUAUAUGAUGACAAGUGCAUCAGGCUACUGAUGCAUCGGUUCACUCGUACCAACAUACAACUAUGUUUAACGGUAAGCCACGUUUUCUUUUUCUUUUUCUUUUCCAUGUUCCUUUUCUUUUUCAUUUUGUUGUACUUUUCCCGUUUUACCUGAUUUCCUUCACUUCAUGGCACUUUUCUGUCUUCUUAAUUUAGAAAAAUUCCCAAGUUUCUUUGCAGAUCAACAUGGUGAUGGGCUCUUAUUAUCAUUUUGUCAUUCUUUUUUGUAUACGUCUAAUCAGCUAUAACCCAUGGUCUGAUAUUCUGUCAUAGACACUAAAAUCUCCAUGAACUCUCAACUCCAACGGUGAUGGGUUCUUAUCAUUUUUUCAUGUUUCUCUAAUUUCGUGUGAGUCACACUUUACCUUUUUUUUAUCUUUUCGUUUGUUUGGGGUGGAGGUAACUUCGCCUACCAUUCAGUUUAUAAUGUAUGGCAGGCGGUUCCAAGCCCGGGAAAAGGAGGAGGAGCCCUUUUUUCAACUUUUUAUUUUUACAGUUCAUUUCUCUUUUUCUCAUACUUUCAGUUUUAUGUCCUCAGUAUUUCUUCAGCAUUCUCAGUUAUUUCUCAGUAUUACUUUUUCAAGUACCCAUAUUUAGAAGUGCAUAUAAAACUAUAGAAAGUAAGAGGACGUAAGUAGGGGAAUUUUUCGAGAAUGGAGUAGGGAUUGCAGGACAUCAAUUUUUGUUGCACUUCUAGUGGUAGUUUCCCGGCUUAGCCUAAUUUCACUGGGAAGUUUCUCCUCCACUAGUGCUAGUUUCAAGUAAUCAUUUUCCUUCAGUUAUUUAUCUGAUUAAUUUCUUCUUCAACUUGAUUUCAUUGGUGUUUGGUCAUUCAAUUUAUGUUUUAUGCAGUGGUUAGUUCAACGUUCAUGCCAUUAUUUAUGUUUCUUUUCAUCAGCUUCCCUUUAUUCAACGUUUUAUGGACAGAGCACGUGUCAUUUGUUUUUCCAGAGAGUGAUUUUCUACUGUUACCGGUUUUCUACUGUUACCGGGUGGCGGGUGGAAACAUGUGCCUCUAUUUUGGGACUAAUCUUGUUGGAUGUCUAAAGGAUUCAAAAGAUCAAAAAAAGGGUAGCCUGUGGAUCAUCAGUGUCAGGCUAGGAGCAGAGUCAAAGUAGGUGGAGUUGGUCUGUGCGGCGAAUGAUGUGCGGUUGUCUUUUUGUACUUGUAAGUUUUAGUGGCCUGUUCAGGCUGUAUACUCAACGGAGCCGAAACUGAAACGUGGACUCAAAUAGUCAUAGGACAGUGACCAUGUGAUUGUGGGCAGAUGCGAGAGAAGAAACUAUGGAUACAGAAAAGCGUCUGUUGGACCGGGCUGAAA